UACAGAGGGUGCGAGCGUUAAUCGGAAUCACUGGGCGUAAAGGGCGCGUAGGCGGCCACCGCAAGUCGACUGUGAAAUCUCCGGGCUUAACUCGGAAAGGUCAGCCGAUACUGCGGGGCUAGAGUGCAGAAGGGGCAACUGGAAUUCUCGGUGUAGCGGUGAAAUGCGUAGAUAUCGAGAGGAACACCUGCGGCGAAGGCGGGUUGCUGGGCUGACACUGACGCUCAUGCACGAAAGCGUGGGGAGCAAACAGG
rnacentral:rRNA from 1 species